rnacentral:rRNA from 1 species
UACGUAGGGGGCAAGCGUUGUCCGGGUUUAUUGGGCGUAAAGAGCGUGUAGGCGGUUUGGUAGGUCCGCUGUGAAAACUCGAGGCUCAACCUCGAGACGCCGGUGGAAACCAUCAGACUAGAGUCCGGAAGAGGAGAGUGGAAUUCCUGGUGUAGCGGUGAAAUGCGCAGAUAUCGGGAAGAACACCCGUGGCUAAGGCGGCUCUCUAGUACGGUACUGACGCUGAGACGCGAAAGCGUGGGGAGCGAACAGGA